CUACUCAUGCAGCCACAAGGUAGGCCUACUCAGUACCUGUAGCCACAAGGUAGGCCUACUCAGUGCCUGUAGCCACAAGGUAAACCUACUCAGUACCUGCAGCCACAAGGUAGGCCUACUCAGUACCUGCAGCCACAAGGUAGGCCUACUCAGUACCUGCAGCCACAAGGUAGGCCUACUCAGUGCCUGCAGCCACAAGGUAAACCUACUCAGUACCUGCAGCCACAAGGUAGGCCUACUCAGUACCUGCAGCCACAAGGUAGGCCUACUCAUGUAGCCACAGUACCUGCAGCCACAGUACAUGCAGCCACAAGGUAGGCCUACUCAGUAGCUGCAGCCACAAGGUAGGCCUACUUAGUACAUGUAGCCACAGUACAUCCACUGCUGGCCAGUACAGACAUCAUAUUCUACCUUUCAUCACUCAAAUGUCGGGUUUGAGGUUCACACACCAAGAGCAGUGAAGCGAUAACUGAAACUAUGUGCACAUCUGCACAAUGAUUGUUUAUAAACUUUGUUUUGAUGAUGCUUUCCUGGUUUCCUUUGAGUUUAUUUGAGUUUUGAUCUCAUUUCCGAC